CCAGACUCCUACGGGAGGCAGCAGUGAGGAAUAUUGGUCAAUGGGCGGGAGCCUGAACCAGCCAAGUCGCGUGAGGGAAGACGGUCCUACGGAUUGUAAACCUCUUUUGCCGGGGAGCAACGGGGUCCUUGCGAGGGCCCGAUGAGAGUACCCGGAGAAAAAGCAUCGGCUAACUCCGUGCCAGCAGCCGCGGUAAUACGGAGGAUGCGAGCGUUAUCCGGAUUUACUGGGUGUAAAGGGCGUGUAGGCGGGCCUGUAAGUCAGAAGUGAAAUCUGGGGGCUUAACCCCCAAACUGCUUUUGAAACUGCGGGUCUUGAGUGAUGGAGAGGCAGGCGGAAUUCCCAGUGUAGCGGUGAAAUGCGUAGAUAUUGGGAGGAACACCAGUGGCGAAGGCGGCCUGCUGGACAUUAACUGACGCUGAGGCGCGAAAGCGUGGGGAGCAAACAGGAUUAGAUACCCCGGUA
rnacentral:rRNA from 1 species